rnacentral:rRNA from 1 species
CCUACGGGAGGCAGCAGUGAGGAAUAUUGGUCAAUGGGCGCGAGCCUGAACCAGCCAAGUAGCGUGAAGGAUGACUGCCCUACGGGUUGUAAACUUCAUUUAUAAAGGAAUAAAGUGAGGCACGUAUGCCUUUUUGUAUGUACUUUAUGAAUAAGGAUCGGCUAACUCAGUGCCAGCAGCCGCGGUAAUACGGAGGAUCCAAGCGUUAUCCGGAUUUAUUGGGUUUAAAGGGAGCGUAGAUGGAUUGUUAAGUCAGUUGUGAAAGCUUGCGGCUUAACCGUAAAAUUGCAAUUGAGACUGGAAGCCGUGAGUACAGUUGAGGUAGUCGGAAUUCGUGGUGUAGCGGUGAAAUGCUUAGAUAUCACGAAGAACUCCGAUUGCGAAGGCAGCCUACUAAACUGCCACUGACAUUGAUGCUCGAAAGUGUGGGUAUCAAACAGGAGUAGAUACCCCAGUAGUC